GCCACUUCCUGGUCACCACAGAGGACGGCGUCCCACAGAACACUGUCUCUAGCACCAUUAUAUACUCUGGCGGUUCUUCAUUUGGUCAGAGAGACUGAGUCAGAGUGAAGUAGCCAGCUUAUUACAUCAGACUUUUCCUGAGGCCUGAAGACGGCAAUAGGAAACCAGGAUUGCAGAUCAACACUGAAGGAUCUUAGCCUUACCCUUGGUGGCCAGAACGUAGAACCUGAUGCAGCUGUGGAAGGAGCCUCUAGAUGAGAAAG